rnacentral:rRNA from 1 species
AGAGUUUGAUCCUGGCUCAGAAUGAACGUUGGCGGCGUGGAUUAGGCAUGCAAGUCGAGCGAGAAGUUUUAAAAAGAUACUUCGGUUGAUUUUUAGAAUGGACAGCGGCGAAAGGGAGAGUAACGAGUAGAUACGUACCCAGGGGUUCGGGAUAGCCAUGCGAAAGCGUGAGUAAUACCGAAUAAUGUCUCCGGACCAAAGAUUUAUUGCCCUUGGAGCGGUUUGCUUACUAUUAGCUUGUUGGUGGGGUAAAGGCCUACCAAGGCUUAGAUGGUUAGCGGGUGUGAGAGCAUGACCCGUCUCACUGGGACUGAGACACUGCCCAGACACCUACGGGUGGCUGCAGUCGAGAAUCUUCCGCAAUGGACGAAAGUCUGACGGAGCGACGCCGCGUGCUGGAUGAAGGCCCUCGGGUUGUAAACAGCUGUCGUAGGGGAGGAAAUUUUGACCGAUCCUAGGAGGAAGCACAGGCUAAGUUCGUGCCAGCAGCCGCGGUAAUACGAACUGUGCAAACGUUAUUCGGAAUCACUGGGCUUAAAGGGUGCGUAGGCGGACUUGUAGGUCAGGUGUGAAAUCCCACGGCUCAACCGUGGAAUUGCGCUUGAAACCACUCGUCUUGAGGGGAUCAGAGGAGAGCGGAACUGAUGGUGGAGCGGUGAAAUGCGUUGAUAUUAUCAGGAACACCGGUGGCGAAAGCGGCUCUCUGGGAUCUUUCUGACGCUGAGGCACGAAAGCUAGGGGAGCGAACGGGAUUAGAUACCCCGGUAGUCCUAGCUGUAAACGAUCUGUACUAGUCCGUGGGGACCCCCACAUCUUCUCGGACGUAGCGAAAGUGUUAAGUACAGCGCCUGGGG